rnacentral:snRNA from 1 species
GUACUCACUUGACGCAGCCCAUACACUAAAAUUGGAACGAUACAGAGAAGAUUAGGAUGGCCCCUGCGCAAGGAUGACAUGCAAAUUCAUGAAGCAUUCCAUAUUUUU